GAUCAUGGCUCAGGAUGAACGCUAGCGGCAGGCUUAACACAUGCAAGUCGGAGGGGCAGCAUCGAACCGACCUUCGGGAAGGUUUGAUGGCGACCGGCGCAAGGGUGCGUAACGCGUGAGCAACUUGCCCGUUUCUGGGGAAUAACCGGUGGAAACGCCGACUAAUACCCCAUAGCAUCAACUUUGGGCAUCCUUAGUUGAUUAAAGAAUUUCGGAAACGGAUAGGCUCGCGUGACAUUAGCUUGAUGGCGGGGUAACGGCCCACCAUGGCUACGAUGUCUAGGGGUUCUGAGAGGAAGGUCCCCCACACUGGAACUGAGACACGGUCCAGACUCCUACGGGAGGCAGCAGUGAGGAAUAUUGGUCAAUGGACGAAAGUCUGAACCAGCCAAGUAGCGUGAAGGAUGAAGGUUCUAUGGAUUGUAAACUUCUUUUAUACGGGAAUAAAACCUCCUACGUGUAGGAGCUUGUAUGUACCGUAUGAAUAAGCAUCGGCUAACUCCGUG
rnacentral:rRNA from 1 species